rnacentral:tRNA from 1 species
GUUCGGCAUGGUGAUCGGCUUGGCCCGCGACACCUGCAGGGUGACGGUGCUGCCCUUGUCGGCGUUCGACCCGCCGGUCGGGUUC